rfam:Capronia semiimmersa strain CBS 27337 unplaced genomic scaffold supercont1.4, whole genome shotgun sequence.
AGCCAGUUGGAUUAGCGGUUGAAAUCGUCGGGCCCAUGACCUGAAGAGCGGAGGUUCGAAUCCUUCACUGGCUU